rnacentral:lncRNA from 1 species
UAACUUUUCUCUCAGGAAGGAAUAGUUAAGAAGGUGCAAAAAGUUGGCUUGACCGAUGCUCCUGUAACCUAUUGGGGCUUGAAGCUUUAUGGAGCUGAAAGCACUGAUACUCAAAGGUAAAAGUCUAGAAAGAUUUUCUAUGAAGUUGGACCCUCUGCUAAUUAGUCUUUCUUUUCCCUUCUUGUCACCACUAAUCUUUCCUCUGAACUAUCUCUUAUCAUAUAUUUUUAUCCUUUUCAAUACACAUCUUGUAAUUUUAACUGAUGAAUGGAACUU